rnacentral:rRNA from 1 species
GGUAUUGAAAUAAGAUUUUAAAUGAGUGCUAAGAGAAUGAUUAAACAAUUAAAAACUUUCUUUAAUUAAAUAAUUAAAUUUAAUUUUUUUGGUGCGAAAGCAAAAAUAGAAUUUAGGGACAAGAAGACCCUAUGAAUUUUUAUUAUUAAUAUUUUGCAAUUAAAUUAUUAAUAAUUUAAUUGGGGUGAUAAAAAAAGAAUAAGUAUCUUUUUAAUUGUAAAAUAAGUUCCGUUUUUAGCGAUUAAAUGAAAAAAAUACUCUAGGGAUAACAGCGUAAUAAUUUUGGAUAGUUCAUAUAGAUAAAAUAGUUUGCGACCUCGAUGUUGGAUUAGGAUUCUUUUUUGGUGAAGAA